rnacentral:lncRNA from 1 species
CGGCUGUGCCCGAGCGGCGGCAGCAGCAGCCGCGCCGGCAGGAGCAGCGCCGGCGGCUUGGCCACAGCGGCGGCACCGGGGCCGCUCGCUCCGCACGCCUCGGUGCCCGGAGCCGCCCUGCCCGGCGCUGCCCGGCGACGGGAGGGCGGAGGUGCUCCUCGGCGGGCGCGGCGGGGAGGGGGCGGUGCCGUGUUGCCGCUGCCGCGGAGCGGAACGGAGCUGCUGCAUCCUCAUCCCCAUCCUCAUCCUCACCUCCCCUCCCUCGGCGCGACCCUGCCGGCUCCCCCCGCCCAGGGGGGCGGGAAGGCAGCGGGCGCUGCCCGCGGUCGCGGCGCGCCCCGAAGUGGCUCCGCACGGCGUUUCCCCCACCCCGCCCGCUGCCGCCGAUAAAUCCCAGCGCCGGGAGCAGCGCGGCACUCGGCGGCUGCCGCGCUGCGGGGAGGCGGCGGAGCUCGGCCCCCUCCCCGCGGCGGACACCCCCAACAGGGGCUACAGGAGCCGCGGCCGCCGGGCUCAGAAAUCAUGAAGAUAAGUUUCGUGAGUGA